AGGGUUUGAUCCUGGCUCAGAUUGAACGCUGGCGGCACGCUUAACACAUGCAAGUCGAACGGCAGCAGCAUCGAGCUUGCUCGAUGGCUGGCGAGUGGCGGACGGGUGAGUAAUGCAUAGGGAUCUACCCUAGAGUAGGGGACAACCCGGGGAAACUCGGGCUAAUACCGUAUACGCUCUAAGGAGUAAAGCUGGGGACCUUCGGGCCUGGCGCUUUAGGAUGAACCUGUGUCGGAUUAGCUAGUUGGUGGGGUAAAGGCCUACCAAGGCAACGAUCCGUAGCUGGUUUGAGAAGAUGUACAGCCACACUGGGACUGAGACACGGCCCAGACUCCUACGGGAGGCAGCAGUGGGGAAUAUUGGACAAUGGGGGCAACCCUGAUCCAGCGAUGCCGCGUGUGUGAAGAAGGCCUGAGGGUUGUAAAGCACUUUAGUUGGGGAGGAAAAUCUCAAAUUGAAUAGGUUUGAGACUUGACGUUACCCAAAGAAUAAGCACCGGCUAACUCUGUGCCAGCAGCCGCGGUAAUACAGAGGGUGCUAGCGUUAAUCGGAAUUACUGGGCGUAAAGGGCGCGUAGGCGGAUAUGUAAGUCAGAUGUGAAAGACCUGGGCUCACCCUGGGAAUUGCAUUUGAUACUGUGUAUCUAGAGUUGAGUAGAGGGAAGCGGAAUUUCCGGUGUAGCGGUGAAAUGCGUAGAUAUCGGAAGGAACACCAGUGGCGAAGGCGGCUUUCUGGACUCAAACUGACGCUGAGGCGCGAAAGCGUGGGGAGCAAACAGGAUUAGAUACCCUGGUAGUCCACGCCGUAAACGAUGAGAACUAGCUGUUGGUGGGCAUGACCCAUCAGUGGCGCAGCUAACGCAUUAAGUUCUCGCCUGGGGAGUACGGCCGCGAGGCUAAACUCAAAGGAAUGACGGGGCCGCACAGCGGUGGAGCAUGGUGGUUUAAUCGAUGCACGCGAGGACCCUACUACCCUGACAUCCGUGGAUCUAUAAAGAAUAUGGGAGUGCUCGGGAAUCACGUGACAGGUGCUGCAUGCUGUCGUCAGCUCAGUCUGGAAUGGUGGGUAGUCCGUACGAGCGCCACCCUUGACUAUGCACA
rnacentral:rRNA from 1 species